rnacentral:sRNA from 1 species
ACUGCUUUUCUUUGAUAUCCCAAUAUUGAGGAACCCGAUAGUCAUCCAUUUUGGUUCAAGACUAUCGGGUUUUUUUAU